CUAAACCGUCUUUACCAAAUACUCUAAAGAAACGUAUUUUCAUUUAAUAUUCAAGUAAUUGUGUCCUCCAAUCAUUACAAAAUAUACCAUUACAACCAGGAAUCAUGACAUCAUCAUCAACAACAAAGAUUGCCCCCAAAUUUUCCUGUAAGAAUGGCAUCAUAUAAACACAGCAUUCACAUUACAUCCUCACACUGCAUAAAAC